rnacentral:rRNA from 1 species
UACGUAGGGUCCAAGCGUUAUCCGGAAUCACUGGGCGUAAAGCGUGCGUAGGCGGGAGUUUAAGUGCAAUGCGAAAUCUUGUGGCUCAACCAUAUAGACUGUAUUGCAUACUGGACACCUAGAGGACGGCAGAGGCAAGUGGAAUUUCCGGUGUAGCGGUGAAAUGCGUAGAUAUCGGAAGGAACAUCAGUGGCGAAAGCGACUUCCUGGACCAAUACUGACGCUCAUGUGCGAAAGCGUGGGGAGCAAACAGG